rnacentral:misc_RNA from 1 species
GUGAAUCAUCGAAUUUUUGAACGCAAAUUGCACUCUCUUCGGAGAGUAUGCCUGUUUGAGGGUCAGCCUAUAAAAAAUCGAAAUCGCUGCUGUUUCCCGGUGGCUUCCGUGGAAAUUGGGUCAUCUUAAACCUUUUGGUUUUAAGCGGCUUAAAAUUUUCUUUAUGAUUCUACUAACGUUUCUAAGAUUUAAUUACAUGUUUAAGUUAUGGAUUUUUUUUUGAUUUGACGUUUGCAUCAUAUCAC